CUGGUGGCGAGUGGCGAACGGGUGAGUAAUAUAUCGGAACGUGUCCAAUAAUGGGGGAUAACGAGUCGAAAGAUUCGCUAAUACCGCAUACGCCCUACGGGGGAAAGCUAGGGACCUUCGGGCCUGGCGUUAAUGGAGCGGCCGAUAUCUGAUUAGCUAGUUGGUGGGGUAAAGGCUCACCAAGCCGACGAUCUAUAGCUGGUCUGAGAGGACGACCAGCCACACUGGAACUGAGACACGGUCCAGACUCC
rnacentral:rRNA from 1 species